rnacentral:rRNA from 1 species
CAGAGGGAUGCUACCGGGCGACCGGAUGCGGAUCUCGAAAGCCUGUCCCAGUUCGGACUGGAGUCUGCAACCCGACUCCACGAAGUUGGAUUCGCUAGUAAUCGCGCAUCAGCCAUGGCGCGGUGAAUACGUUCCCGGGUCUUGUACACACCGCCCGUCACACCAUGGGAGUCGGAAAUGCCCGAAGUCUGUGACCCAACCUACGGGAGGGAGCAGCCGAAGGCAGGUCGGAUGACUGGGGUGAAGUCGUAACAAGGUACC